AUAUAUAUAUAUAUAUAUAUAUAUAUAUAUACAUAUAUAGUCCCCUCUGGUAAAGUCUUGUAUUAUCUCUAGAAUCAAUUUUUAGGCUCACUGAGACUGCCUCAGUUUUCUGUGUAUUUACUUGAGUGCUGUUUGUACCUAGAUUUGUGCAGGUGAUCACUCCGCAGAGCUGUCACCACCACCUGAAGGCACAAAGGCCUUCAUCCUUGUACAUUUUUCUCCUCCAGUUUUUAAAUAUUCAAAAACAAUCUCCCCCAGGCCCUUCCAUCCCCUCUCCCCUACUCUUCACAAUUUUCUUAGAUGGCCUUAGUAGCCAUCCUCCCUCCAUCCCUAACCCUUACCCACCAGCCGGCCUGCCCGUUUUUGUGAGCAUGUCACUGUAAGGAGGAUCGUGCAGGAUACCUUUUUUAACCUUUGCAGUUGAUUGGCUUUUUCACCCAGAACAGUUCUCUGAGACUCCCCAGGUUGCUCUAUCAAGUAAGCUCACUCCUCUUUGUUUCUAAGAAGGAUUCCCUGGUAAGAAUGUCACACUUGUCAUUAACACGUGGAAGAACAUUUAGGUUAUUUCUGCCUCUUGGCUACUGCACAUUAAGCUAUUGUGACCAUUCAUAUUUUCAACUCUGCAAAUAUCCCAAUGUGGAAUUUUGGGGGGUUAUGAUAAAUUCGAAGAAUCGCUACCCACUUCCUGUAAUUAGACAUUAUAGUGACUUAAGAAAGCGUGAUUUUGAAUACAGUUUGUUAAUUCAUGACAGAAACAACAGUUCUAUCAAACCUUAAAAGAGUGUUUGUUGUUUUGUUUUUUAAGUUUCUUUUUUUUUUUUUUUUUUUUUGAGGUAGGAUCUCACUGUGUAGCAGUCUGACUUUCCUCCCUCCCUCCAUCCCUUCUGUGUCAUAUGCAGUCUGCAGCCCAUUGCGCAUUCAUUGUUACAUUAAACUUGAGGUUUAGGCCAUCAGGCUAUUAACUUGCUUUGGCAACGUUUGUUGAAAAGCUGUUCUCCAUGAAGCUGUCAGAAAUCACCUGGGCAUGUUGGCUGGCCUCCUUCUGUGUCCCUGAGUCUGUAUUUCACUUAUAACGUAUUAAACGUGUUUAGAGGGGCCAUGGAUCGCCUUCUUCUUAAAAGCAUGUGUGAGGAUGGGCGCAGAAUAUGUCUGAGGUCAGAGGUUAGCUUGUGUGCGUAGUUUCUUUCUUUCUACUAUGUGGGUUCUGGGACCCAAACUCAGGUCACUGGGCUUUGCAGCACGUGCCCUUACUCGCUGAGCCGUCCCAGCACCCGGUCCUUUUUUUUUAGGCUUGAUUUUGUGUUUGCUGGAGUGGCUACACCUACGUGUUGCCAUUCCUGUGGUCUGCUUCCUUUUGAGACACUAGGGUAAGUGCGUGGGGUUCCCAGAGUCUGCUAAGAUCUCAGCGUUGACCUUGGCUGCAGUAUUUGGGGCGAGGACUAGCAUCCCCAUAGCUCACAGCAUUUAGUUUGGAAUUAGGUGAGCUAGAGAUUCUGGGGCCUUGGCUCCUCAGUGCUUGCUGACGUCUCUAACUCUGAAAGUAGCUUCUGUCAAAUGCCAAACAGAGCCCUGUUUUUCUUAACUGAGCUCUGGCUCCUGAGAAAUGGAUAAUGAGUAACUUCUGGAGAAUCAUUUCUGUGGCCUUGGAGCUUGAUUUUACAACCCAAAGCCAGUCAGCCUCUAGUAGCAUAUUCUUGCAGGCGUCCCCAGAACUGUGUCUCCUGUGCUUGGCGUGAAGCUGCUUGGUUCUCUGCUUCCUUCCCCGCAGAGAAGCCAAGGGAUUGAUGAGGCUCCUGUCCUACCUCACAGUUCUGUAAUCCUCCUGAGCAGAGUGCUUAGGAAAAUAAGUAAAUUAGAUCUUUUAACCCAAAGCUAUUGCUACAACUUCCAUGUCUCCUUUCUCUGAGACAACGUUCCUUUGCCACUCUUUACAGAAAUGAUUUGUGUCCUGUGGAGACUUUUGAAUAAUAAUUUGAGCUGAGUAAUGACAUGUAUUUGCUCACAGACACCUCACACUUGACUAGAACCCAAACGAGGUGGUAGGAGUGUUGCAAUGGCAGCCAACCUAAGCCACAUUGGAGUUUGAGGUGAGCCUGGGGUCCAUAGCAAGAGCCUGUCUAAAACUCCAAACUGUAGAACCAGGAGAGAGAAUUGGUGUGAAAAUGCUCAUUUAACGCCCCGUCCACUGCUGUAUACAGUGGGGUGUGACUGGGAAUGAGGUGCCUGUGUACCCUGCAGAAGACAGCGACAGUGAAGAGGGACCUACUGAGGCAGUUAGGCACGUGAGUGGGGAGGGACAGAGAGGAUCAGUCCCUUGUGGAGUGGGGCUUUGGACUUACUGUAAUGGUAGGAAGGAUUGAACCUUAUAAGGUCUGAGUUCAAGACUCCAGGCAAGAAGAGGCGUUAACUAUAGCAUAGUAUGAGGCAAAUAAUCACCUUUUCUUUGACAUCAUCUCAGUAUUUUAUAAGAUUUUUAUAGGUUGUCAUACCAUGCUUAUUGUCUUGAAAGACUCAAAAUAUUAUGACUAGCUGGGCAGUGGUGGUGCACACCUUUGAUCCCAACACUCAGGAGGCAGAGGCAGGCAGGUCUCUGAGUUGGAGGCCAGCCUGGUCUACAGAGUGAGUUUUAAGACAGCAGGGCUACUCAAAGAAACACUGUCU
rnacentral:lncRNA from 1 species